AUUGAACGCUGGCGGCAGGCCUAACACAUGCAAGUAGCGCGAGCGGCGGACGGGUGAGUAAUGUAUGGGGACUGCCCGAUAGAGGGGGAUAACUACUGGAAACGGUGGCUAAUACCGCAUACUAUCGGCUAACCUAUAUGGGAUUAGCUGGUGGGUGGGGUAAAGGCUCACCUAGGCGACGAUCUCUCGCUGGUCUGAGAGGAUGAUGAACCCCACUGCGACUGUGACACGGCCCAGACUCCUACUGACUCAACGUUGAUUAAUAUUGCACAGUGGGCGCAAGCCUGAGUCAGCCAUGCCGCGUGUAUGAAGAAGUCCUUAGGGUUUUAAAGUACUGUCAGCGGGUAGGCGUUACCCGCAGAAGAAGCACCGGCUAACUCCGUGCCAGCAGCCGCGGUAAUAC
rnacentral:rRNA from 1 species